GACGAACGCUGGCGGCGUGCUUAACACAUGCAAGUCGAGCGGAAAGGCCACUUCGGUGGUACUCGAGCGGCGAACGGGUGAGUAACACGUGAGUAAUCUGCCCCUGGCUUUGGGAUAGCCACCGGAAACGGUGAUUAAUACCGGAUACGACCACUUCUCGCAUGGGAUGGUGGUGGAAAGUUUUUUCGGCCAGGGAUGUGCUCGCGGCCUAUCAGCUUGAUGGUGAGGUAAUGGCUCACCAUGGCUUCGACGGGUAGCCGGCCUGAGAGGGUGACCGGUCACACUGGGACUGAGACACGGCCCAGACGCCGACGGGAGGCAGCAGUGGGGAAUAUUGGACAAUGGGCGGAAGCCUGAUCCAGCAACGCCGCGUGAGGGAUGACGGCCUUCGGGUUGUAAACCUCUUUCAGCAGGGACGAAGCGCAAGUGACGGUACCUGCAGAAGAAGCACCGGCCAACUACGUGCCAGCAGCCGCCGUAA
rnacentral:rRNA from 1 species